UACGGAGGGUGCGAGCGUUAAUCGGAAUUACUGGGCGUAAAGCGUGCGUAGGUGGUUUGCUAAGUCAGAUGUGAAAGCCCCGGGCUUAACCUGGGAACGGCAUUUGAAACUGACAGACUGGAGUUGAGUAGAGGGGAGUGGAAUUUCAGGUGUAGCGGUGAAAUGCGUAGAUAUCUGAAGGAACACCAGUGGCGAAGGCGGCUCCCUGGACUCAAACUGACGCUGAGGUACGAAAGCGUGGGUAGCAAACAGG
rnacentral:rRNA from 1 species